rnacentral:rRNA from 1 species
UACAGAGACUGCAAGCGUUAUUCGGAUUCACUGGGCGUAAAGGGUGCGCAGGCGGCCGUGUGUGUUAGGUGUGAAAGCCCGGGGCUUAACCUCGGAAUUGCGCCUAAAACUACACGGCUAGAGCAUUGGAGAGGGUAGCGGAAUUCACGGUGUAGCAGUGAAAUGCGUAGAUAUCGUGAGGAACACCAGAGGCGAAGGCGGCUACCUGGACAAUUGCUGACGCUCAGGCACGAAAGCGUGGGGAGCAAAAGGG